rnacentral:rRNA from 1 species
GACGAACGCUGGCGGCGUGGAUAAGACAUGCAAGUCGAACGGGACAGACCGAGUAGCAAUAUUUGGAAUGUUCAGUGGCGAACGGGUGCGUAACACGUGGAUAACAUUCCGGAAAGCGGGGAAUAGCCCAGGGAAACUUGGAUUAGUACCGCAUGUGGCCGCAAGGCUAAAGACGGGGACCGCAAGGACUGUCACUUUCCGAUUGGUCCGCGGCCUAUCAGCUAGUUGGCGGGGUAAUGGCCCACCAGGGCUACGACGGGUAGCUGGUCUUAGAGGACGACCAGCCACACUGGAACUGAGACACGGUCCAGACACCUACGGGUGGCAGCAGUCGAGAAUCUUUCACAAUGGGGGCAACCCUGAUGGAGCGACGCCGCGUGGAGGAUAAGGUCUUCGGAUUGUAAACUCCUGUCAUGCGAGAACAAGGUACUCAGGCUAAUAACCUGAUUGUUUGAUGGUACCGCAAGAGGAAGAGACGGCUAACUCUGUGCCAGCCGCCGCCGUAAUAC